rnacentral:rRNA from 1 species
CCUACGGGAGGCAGCAGUGAGGAAUAUUGGUCAAUGGGCGCGAGCCUGAACCAGCCAAGUAGCGUGAAGGAUGAAGGCCCUACGGGUUGUAAACUUCUUUUAUAAAGGAAUAAAGUGAGGCACGUGUGCAGUUUUGUAUGGACUUUAUGAAUAAGGAUCGGGUAACUCCGUGCCAGCAGCCGCGGUAAUACGGAGGCUCCGAGCGUUAUCCGGAUUUAUUGGGGUUACAGGGAGCGUAGAUGGGUUGUUAAGUCCGUUGGGAAAGUUGUCGGCUCACCCGUAAAAUUGCAAUUGAUGCUGGCGAUCUUGAGUACAGUUGAGGUAGGCGGAAUUCGUGGUGUAGCGG